UUGGUGUUGAUCAGGGCUGCAAGCAGAACACAGCUGCAGUGUUAAAUUUAAAAGGCUACCUUGUCCUUGGUAAGAGGGUGAUAGGAGGGGCUCUCUGGAGCUGGCUGUGGUUCUUCUGGGCUUAGAAGUGAACCUGGUGAAGUGGACUACAGAGCAAACCUUUGGAAGUUCCACUGAAAGCAUCUGGAGUUCCUUGAUCCCUGAACAGAAAAGGAGACAUGAUAGCAGAACUUUCAGUGGCUGACAAAAACCUAAACACAGAGUAGAGAGUCUCUCCUCCAGAGCAAUCCUGAGUGUCUCAGAUACAAUGGCUCCAAGGAACACCUGCUUAUCACCAAAAGGAAUGCGUUUUAAGAUAAGAGACUCCUGCAUCCCUUCCAUGACCUAGGAGGAACUUGUUCUCACUGGCGCUAACAGAAAAACAGCUUUAUAAACCAUUGCUGUAUGCUGUUGAACAAAGAUGCCCGAUUCAUGCUUUAAAAGGAGGCUCCUGGAAGAACAGCCUGAAGACACUGUCUCAGGUGGUGAAAAAAGACACUGCUUCAUAAGGAGCUGUGUGACUUCCUGAACACUGUCUUUUCCAAGAAGGAGUGACCCUAACUUCAGGACAGCAGCUCCCAAGGGGCAGGUGGACAGAAGGUGGGUGAGUUAUGUGGUAGCCCCACAUUUUGUUCUGUAGAACACACAGAGCUCCUUUCUCCACGAAUCACAGCUGAUUCUUUAAUGCAGACUCUGAUUUCAUGUGGAUCCACCUAAAACAAUGUUGAAAUUAAUGCUCUCCCAAAUCUAGGCAACUGCAUUUUCUGUUUCUUUGAGUCUGUGAAAUUCCAUGAGAAAAGCACUCGGAAAGGGUUCCAUUCAGGGAAAAACUGGGGGAGUUUUGGAAAGACUCAAACAAAACCUGUUUACUAUCUAUGAACCCCCAAUGAGGAAAACAUUAAGAAUGGGAGUUUGGAAAUGAAGUUUUUCCACAUUAUUUCACAGGUCCUGCUUCCUUGCUGAAUGUUGCUUGUUUGCUUUUAUAAAUACUGUUUUUUCCAGCUGGCAUGCUUAAACAGGAUCCAUUCAAAUAAAUGUCAUGGGACAUUGAGCAAUUCCAGUCCCUUUCUCAAUCAAAACUAAGAGUUAUAUCAUUCGCUCUAUCCUUCCCUUUUGAGUGGCUAGAAAGUAAGUGGUUGAUAUUAAUGUUUCAAAGAAAACUACAGCUGCUAAGUUUUUUCUCCCAGGGAAACACAGCUUUCAGCCUUGGUCCUAUCCCAAAAUAUAGUCUCUUUUAGGUGUUACUGAUAUUUCUCAAAGAGUCAGGGGUGGUGGGUAGAAGUCUUAAGUCUUCCGUUGGUUUGCUCUCAUUUCUUUCCUGAGUAUGCUCAUGGUUAGGAAUAUAACCAUGGUUAGUGUUGGGUGGACAUGCACACUGAUCCUUGUUGGCCUGGUAUUCUGGGUGGGGUGAGGACUAAGGCUUUUGGAAAUGCCUAGGAUUUCUAUCAGCAAAGGAUAAGUUGUCUAGUUGGCAAUUAAAGGCCAAAUCAAUAAUGAUUCUUUUGUGUGGGCAUAGUUGGAACAGAAAGCCUUUCACCAAUUUUAAUAAAAACUCUGAAACAUGAUUGUAGAGGAGUAUUGGGGAAAAUCCUAUGACCUUCUUGGAACAUAUAAGAAGGAUUCUCAGGGUGACCCCAGAGAUCAGAGAUGAAUGGGUAUUUGGGGCUGGCCCUUUCCAAAGAAAGCAUCGUGUUCUCAUUGGCUGUUUCAGAAGUAAGGCAGAGACCUCAGAAAGGCUUGACAAUAGGAUUUAUUGGUAAUGAUGGGGGAAGGUUGGUCCAGAACAACUUUAUAGCCUUUAACCCAAGUGGUAAAGAGAGGCUAGUUCACUAGUAAAAUAAUCUCCACUCAGGGAAAUUGAACUGAGAAAAUGAGUAGAGAGGAAAAGAAUAUAUUUAAUAUUUAAGAACAUAUUAAAUUGUGAAUUCUAACAAGGUGACAUAACGGAGACGUUUUGACUAUCCCAAGGGUGUGUGGGUCAACCUUGCGUGAACUCAGUAAUGGAAAAUAGAAAGCCUCCUGCUGACCAAAGACCUGGGCAGAUGGUAAAGGAAAGAGGUGUGGUUGCAAACAGCCCCAGGCUUUGUCAACAUUAACUGUACUCAUAGACUUGAGAAGGCGGACUUUCCGCAUACAAAGUGUGGGAGAAACACCUGUAUUGUCGGAUUACUUUCUGCACUAAUGCUGUCAGUAACUGCUCAGAGCACUUGUACAAAACAUCCCAGUGCCCUCAUGGACAUCUUCAGGGGAGGGGCAGGUUUGCCUGCGUGACUCUUUCUCAAUGAAGAGCUGAUAGGCAAGGUAUUUCAAUGGGUUGGAGCACUGAGGUUUACUAGUUCCUCUUCUCUAUGGAAAUCUUGCCUUGAGGCUUGACGCUGAGGUUGGUACCCAGGCUGCAACACAGACAUAGUCUAACAUGGAAGCUGGGUGUCACCCACUGUGCCUCCAGGGCCCUGAGGGACCGACAUCGUGGCAGCACUGUGAGGGCCAUCUUAUCUGUGGUGCUUCCAAAGUCUUCAUCUGCAGAGACCAGUGCUCUGAAACCAAGCAGGUGCACUCUGCCUUUCCUAGAGCCUCUGGUGGAAUGUCCUUUCCCCAACAUUCCCAGAACUCCCUCCAUCCCAUUUUUGUUUUGAUAUUAUCUUACCAAUGAGACCUGUCCCUGCCACUCUGUAUAAAAUAAUACCCCCUUCCUAAGGUCUAACCAGUGUCUAUACUCUAUUUUUCUCUUCAGCUUUUUUGUACCCUCUGAUACUUGGUAUUUACUAGUUUUUUUGCUGGUCUUUUUUGCCCCACUAGAAUGUAAGCUCUCUGAUGGCAGGGAUUUUGUUUAUUUUGUUAACUGCUAUUUCUCACCAUACGCAUCCUGUAAAUAUUUGGGAAAUAAAUAAAUGAGGUCUUAAGCAGUGCUUUUAACUCUGAUCUCUCUCAGCUUCCUCAGACCAUAGGCGUUUUGGGCAUCAAGGGGAAGGAAAGACGGAAAGGGUUUUGUUGCAAAGGAUGUAACUUGAAUGUGGCCAGAGUCCCAAGGUUAAACAAUGUAUCCAAGGAGCAAAGUGAAAGCCCUUCUCUCUGAGAAGGGCAAGCAGUUUUCUGUGUUUCUUGAUUAGGUGAUACUAGGUGAUAAGGCAGGGUCCUACCAAGCCCAGAAUGUUGUCCCUGGAAUGCCAAAUUUUUUGUUCAUAGAGGAAAAGAAUCAGGACAGUUGAUUCAAAUGUGGCCAUGGACAAUGCCAGAGUCCAAUAGUUAAUUGACUUGUCUCUAGAUUUUAAUUUAUUUAAAUCUUCCCUUUACUGUCCUUUGGUUUACAUUUUGAAACCAAGUAGCUAGUAGAGUUUGGGAAAUAUUUAUAGUUAUUUUAAAGUUGAUAGAAAUUGACAGAACACUGUAAACCAACUAUAAUGGAAAAAAUAAAAAUCAUUAAAAAAUACAUAAAUAAAAUAAAAUUGUGUUGUAGUAUGGUUUGUAAUUGACUAGAUUUUGUGUUAGCCUUCUGUUCCAUGGUUUCUGGUACCGUCUUGUACCUGAAGUCUUUUCUGGUGGUUACAGUCAUGCUGCCAUGGAGGAAACAGUCACCCAUUAGGAUAGGAUCUUCAAACAUCAGUGGGCUUAAGGACUACCUGAGGAUGUACUUGAUCACCCAAGUUCCCUUCUUCUCUGUCACUCUUAAUUCCAGAUGCCAGAGACAGUAGGCUGUGAGCUGGGCCUUAGGACUUCCUGCAGGAUACCUGGAUAAAUUCUUAGCUUCAACAUUGGCCAAAAUGGAGAUAAACCCAUAAAGUCCAUGAAAACCUGGUUGCCCAACUCCAUGUUAAAGAUCUCUAGGGAGGUUAGAAGAGCUUCAUGGAAUCUUUAUAAAGACUAGUUCUCUAGUCUCCUGCAGAAUAAUCAAGAAAAGGGGCCAAGAAGACAUUUUGGACUUCUUAGGAGAGAGACUGGUUGUUAGAUGAGUCUCCCCAUUCACCUCGAGAUGCCAGGUACAAGGCACAGCACCAUCCACUGUGGGCACCAUGGCCUCAGUCAGUGGCAUCCUGGAGCCUCUUCAUGUGGGCUUAUAAGAGCAGGUUGUUAAACUUUCAGGACAGUUAGGAACAGGAUGAUCUAACAUUGGUGGCUUAAAAAGGGUCAUGGUGGGUGGGGGUAUUUAUUUAAACACUGAAAUAGGCAAACACUGUAAAUGAGGGCUCCUCUCCCUCUCUCAAGAGCUGGAGGUUAAACAUUCACCUUAACACUUCCAGCCCUUAAUCAUCACUUGACAUUACAGUGAAUAUUUUGCUUGGAUUGUGUGUGUGUGUGUGUGUGUGUGUGUGUGUGUGUGUGUGCGCGCGCGCGCGCAUGCGUGUGGACAUGUACACAUAUGUAAUGUGUCUAUAUUAUGGGGAUAAAAGGAUAAAAAGGAUUUUUGAAAGAUGUUAGCUAUAUGGUGGACAGAGGACAUGGAAAGUACAACCAAAAAGCUAAUGAGACAUUUUUAUGUUAAAAACAUAUUUAGAUUAAAAUAAUUCUUGUUACAAAUUUUACUAAAGAGUACAUCAUUAAAAAGAUUUAUUAUAAAGAUGAUAAUGAUUUAUUGAUAGAGGGGAAAGUGAUACAUAUAGUUGCAAAGUGCUACACAGAGAUCAUAUUUUUGUGAAAACAAACUGAAAAAAAUCUCAACUUUACAAAAUGUACAUGUAUGUAUAUGUUUUUCUAUGUUAGAGUAUAGAAAUUACAUGUUAUUGACAUAAGGGGAGAAAAGGUAGGAAGAAAGGGAAGGCAAUUUUAAAAUUUAUAUACUUUCAUAUUAUUGACUUUUUGGCUAAGGUUUCAUUGGUUACAUUUUGGACCUGCAGUGCAAGAGCUGAAAAACAUGACUUUUAAAGGAUGACUAAAUUAGAAAUAUAAUAUGAAUGAAAUGUGAUAAAUGUACAUGAAAGUUUUUGAGAGAAAUAAUGUUCAUUCAGUUCCAUACACAAAAUUCACAGCAUCACUCAAAAUAGGAAAAAACUUCACCUAAUAUAAACCAGUAAGGGUGUGAAGAUGAUUGUAAAUGAAAUGCUAAGGUUAAAUAAAAAAAUAUUAGAGGAUGUGUGUGUAUUUCUAUGUGCUUUAAAAUACUUUGUAAAAACAAAAGAGGGUAAAGCUAUCCCAGUAAAUGGAGACCAAGGUGCUUGAACAACUACAAACACCGUGUAGACAAUAGACUAUUCAUUUUGUGCUGAGGAACUGCAGCCUAAAUAUCUUUCUGCCUAUUCCAAGUAGGACACAAUGACUCUCUAACCUUGGGCCAGCUGUUAAGUCUCUCUAUAAAUUAUGGCAGUCCAAGGAGAGGGUAGUCAUCUUUGUGAAAGGAUCUCAGAAGCCAUAAUGCACUAUAUACAUUUUAGCAAUAAAGAGAUCUAAAAGGAGAAAUCAUCAGAAAGCUUGGAUUGUAUGCUAAUGUUCACUAUUGUGUUAAACCUUUGCCAAAAUGUAAGUUUCUUUCAUUUCAGAUCUUUGAAGUCACAUUAAAGAAGUGAUCCCCCCAGACUCAAUAAAGAAAACAUAUUAUCAUAUCACUGACUCCGUCACAUCAGAUAAAGGCAAUCUCCCUACAACCUCAAGUAUUCCUCUGGAAAUAACAUGGAUUGUUUACUCCACCAGAGAGCCACCUGUAUUGGUCUGUCAAUCCUGUUUUAAAGAUAAUGAGUGUACAGGGACAGGAACCUAAAGCAGGGUGUGUUGACAUAAUUAGGUGGUAACUCCCAAAGUUCUUUUAGGGAUAAGAGAGAAAUAGGUAUCUCUUGCUCUGUACGGAAAUUCCUUUGUAGUUGGUUUCCUACUAGUUGCCUAGUUUGUGUCUUCCCUGCUGUUCAGUGGUUAUUUAACUUAGGGUUCACAGAGGAUCUUUACCUGGGACGUGGGCUUCAGCAUUUCUGGAAAAGAGGCUCUGCAAUUGAUCUGAGUAGAUACGUGUUAAACAUUCUGCAAAACAGACUAACUCCAAGAUCCAUUUCAGUAGCUACCAACUUCCUGGGAAAUGCCCAGCACUCCUAGAUUUUCUUCUUCUACUGGGAGUCCCUAAUACAGGGCACUAGGAUACUGCUGCCUUUCCCCAAGAGCAAGAAAGUAAGAAGAUGCCAUGACCUCAGAGUCCCAGCCAUGCUCGCUCAAGUCGGUUUCUGAGGAAAUGUCUAGGGGCAUAUGUCCAGCAACAAAAUACAUGCCCUGUCUGCUGGGCUUUGACUUCACAGGCUUUUCCUCAAGAUAACAUUCAGGCUCUUUCACCUCUCCUUGCCUCUGCAUGGUCUGUUGCCUCUGCAUGGUCUGUUGCCUCUGCCUGGAUCUCUCUCACCCCUGUUUUCAUUUGGCAGUUUUGUCCCCAUAAUUUAAUACUCAGCUCAGGUACUCUCCCCGCCUCCUCCACAUAUGAAGCCUUUGUUGAGCGAUGCCCCUCUCCAGCCUGGGUUAGGGAUGCUUUCAUGAGUUUCCAUAGUAAUUUUGGAUUGCUGCCAUCAUGUGGGACAUGACCUAUGUAUGGUUAAUCUCUUUAUCACACCAGCAGUGGUUUUAAAUUUUGAUUGCAUGUUAGAAUGAUUCAAGAGAUUUUUAAAUUCUUGAUGCCCUCCCUAUACUCCAGAUGGAUGAAAUCAGGGUCUCUGGGGGGUGGGACCUAGGAUUCAGAAUUUUUUUUUUUUGUCUUUUGAAGGCCACACCUGCAACAUAUGGAGGUUCCCAAGCCUAUGCCACAGCCACAGCAACUAUGAAACCUACACCACAGCUCAUGGCAACACUGGAUUAAGAAUUUUUUAAAGCCUCCCCAAUUGAUUUCAGUGGGUAGCCCAAGGCUGAGAACCACGGCAUUAGAUGGCACAAUCCUAGAGGGUGGUGACUGGUUCUUUUGUGUACCAACUCAGUGCACAAGGCUGACUGAUGCUACUAUUUUGCUAAGUUAAUAAAUUAAUACAAGUGAGAAUAUUUUAGACUUUAAUCAAGUGAUAUUAAGAGUUAGCCACUCAUUUUUUUCCUAGAACACAAGUGGUUCAGAGUAAAAAAAAUACAAAUACAUUUAUUAAAAAUCAUUAAAUCCAUUGGUUUUACAGCAGUUAUUUAGGAGAAAGCUAUUGUGUUUUAUUCAUACAUCAUAUUCUGAAGAUUUUUCUGUUAGCAUUCUAUACUAUUUUUAUGUACAUUUUCCUAAGUAAAAUGAUGAACUUGAAGAAUUACAGAUUUGUGUGAGUGUCUCUACAGUGUUAUAGUUGAGGAGAUUGCACAUAUAAGGCUCAGGUACAAUGAUUCCCAAAGUGUGGUUCAUAGAUCGUCUGCAUCCAAAUGAAAAAAUACAUGUUUCCAGCCUCUAUUCCAUGCCUGCAUUUAGAUUCUUUGGCAAAGGAAUCGAGAAAGCUAUUUGUAUUUUUUUCUUUUUUCUUGAAAUACAUCACUAUUAUCUAAUUAUAGGAAGUUUCUUCAACAUAAGAUGAAACUCAUUGGAUAGAACUCAUUCCCCAUCUACCACCUAUCACUCACUCCCUCAGGCCAAUAGCAACCAGUAAUCUACUUUCUAUCCCUAUGGAUUUGCCUACUCUGGACAUUUCAUAUCACUGGACUUAUAUAAUAUGUGUUUUUUUGUUUUUUUUUUUUACUUAGUGUAAUCUUUUAAGAAAUCAUUCAUCUUAUA